GAUGAACGCUAGCGGCAGGCCUAACACAUGCAAGUCGAGGGAGGAGCUUUCGGGCUUCGACCGGCGUACGGGUGCGUAACGCGUAUACAAUCUGCCUUUCACAUAGGGAUAGCCCGAAGAAAUUUGGAUUAAUACCUAAUGGUAUAUAGGAGUGGCAUCACAUUUAUAUUAAAGCUGAGGCGGUGAAAGAUGAGUAUGCGUUCUAUUAGCUAGUUGGAGAGGUAACGGCUCCCCAAGGCGACGAUAGAUAGGGGUUCUGAGAGGGAUAUCCCCCACACUGGUACUGAGGUACGGACCAGACUCCUACGGGAGGCAGCAGUGAGGAAUAUUGGACAAUGGUCGGAAGACUGAUCCAGCCAUGCCGCGUGCAGGAAGACGGCCUUAUGGGUUGUAAACUGCUUUUGCAGGGGAAGAAUAAGGACUACGAGUAGUUUGAUGACGGUACUCUGCGAAUAAGCAUCGGCUAACUCCGUG
rnacentral:rRNA from 1 species